CUACGUGCCAGCAGCCGCGGUAAUACGUAGGUGGCAAGCGUUGUCCGGAAUUAUUGGGCGUAAAGCGCGCGCAGGCGGAUUGGUCAGUCUGUCUUAGAAGUUCGGGGCUUAACCCCGUGAUGGGAUGGAAACUGCCAAUCUAGAGUAUCGGAGAGGAAAGUGGAAUUCCUAGUGUAGCGGUGAAAUGCGUAGAUAUUAGGAAGAACACCAGUGGCGAAGGCGACUUUCUGGACGAAAACUGACGCUGAGGCGCGAAAGCCAGGGGAGCGAACGGGAUUAGAUACCCCGGUAGUCCUGGCCGUAAACGAUGGGUACUAGGUGUAGGAGGUAUCGACCCCUUCUGUGCCGGAGUUAACGCAAUAAGUACCCCGCCUGGGGAGUACGACCGCAAGGUUGAAACUCAAAGGAAUUGACGGGGGCCCGCACAAGCGGUGGAGUAUGUGGUUUAAUUCGACGCAACGCGAAGAACCUUACCAGGUCUUGACAUUGAUGGACAGAACUAGAGAUAG
rnacentral:rRNA from 1 species